GCGGAUAUGGUUUAGUGGUAGAACGCGUCCUUGCCAAGGACGAGGCGGGAGUCCGAUUCUCCCUAUCCGCA
rnacentral:tRNA from 1 species